rnacentral:rRNA from 1 species
CAGUCGCCACGGGAAUACGUAGGUGGCAAGCGUUGUCCGGAAUUAUUGGGCGUAAAGCGCGCGCAGGCGGUUUCUUAAGUCUGAUGUGAAAGCCCCCGGCUUAACCGGGGAGGGUCAUUGGAAACUGGGAGACUUAGAGUGCAGAAGAGGAGAGUGGAAUUCCAUGUGUAGCGGUGAAAUGCGUAGAUACUAGGAAGAACACCAGUGGCGAAGGCGACUUUCUGGACGAAAACUGACGCUGAGGCUCGAAAGCGUGGGUAGCGAACAGGAUUAGAUACCCGAGUAGUCCCUGUCUCUUAUA